rnacentral:rRNA from 1 species
UACGGAGGGUGCAAGCAUUGAUCGGAAUUACUGGGCGUAAAGGGCGCGUAGGCGGUCAGGAAAGUCAGAUGUGAAAUUCCGGAGCUCAACUCCGGAGCUGCAUUUGAAACUUCCUAUCUAGAGUACAGUUAGGGAAAACGGAAUUCCACGUGUAGCGGUGAAAUGCGUAGAUAUGUGGAAGAACACCAGUGGUGAAGACGGUUUUCUGGGCUGUUACUGACGCUGAGGCGCGAAAGCAAGGGGAGCAAACAGG